AAGGGAGCCCAGAACUUUGUCAAUCUUCUCUCUCCUCGCCACGGAGGGUAUGCUGAUAGUCUCUUCUCUCUCCUCCACUACGGAGGGUAUGCUGGUAGUUUCUUCUCUCCUCCGCUACGGAGGGUAUGCUGGUAGUCUCUUCUCUCUCCUCCGCCACGGAGGGUAUGCGGGUACUCUCUUCUCUCCCCUCCGCCACGGAGGAUACGCUGGCAGUUGAUAUUCUCUUCUCUCCUCUCCACCAUGGCAGCCAGCAGCUGGUUGAAGUCUUCUCCCAUGUCCACCAGGAGAGGGCCAACAGUACCAGACCUUCAAAAUCGCCUUAACUUCAGUCACUUCCUUAAAGAAUGAACUUUCAGAUCAAAAA